rnacentral:rRNA from 1 species
AGAGUUUGAUCCUGGCUCAGGACGAACGCUGGCGGCGUGCUUAACACAUGCAAGUCACGGGGGCCCGCAAGGGUAACCGGCGAACGGGUGCGUAACACGUGAACAACCUGCCCUCGUGUGGGGGAUAGCCGGGCUAACGCCCGGGUAAUACCGCAUACGUUCUCUUUGGGGAUUCCUGAGGGGAAGAAAGCUCCGGCGCACGGGGAGGGGUUCGCGGCCUAUCAGCUAGUUGGUGAGGUAAUGGCUCACCAAGGCUUUGACGGGUAGCUGGUCUGAGAGGAUGGCCAGCCACAUUGGGACUGAGAUACGGCCCAGACUCCUACGGGAGGCAGCAGUGGGGAAUAUUGCGCCAUGGCCGCAAUGGCUGACGCAGCGACGCCGCGUGUGGGAUGACGCCUUUCGGGGUGUAACCACUGUUGCCCGGGACGAACAUCCACUUUGUGAGUGGACUGACNGUACCGGGUGAGGAAGCACCGGCUAACUCCGUGCCAGCAGCCGCGGUAUACGGAGGGUGCGAGCGUUGUCCGGAAAUCNUGGGGCGUNGGCGCGUNGUGGCCCCGUAGCNUGCGGUGAGNCUCGGGGGCUCACCCUGU